rnacentral:siRNA from 1 species
AGCCCUUUUCCCUCUUGGCACCA